rnacentral:rRNA from 1 species
CAAUAGCGUAUAUUAAAGUUGUUGCAGUUAAAAAGCUCGUAGUUGGAUUUCUGAAUUGAAUAUCCGGUCCGCUCGUCUCUGAUGAGUGCGUACUUAUGGAUAUUGGAUUCAUUUUUUGUGAGGACAUUUAUCUGUCAUUAAGUUGAUGGAUUUAUAGACUUGCAUCGUUUACUGUGAAAAAAUUAGAGUGUUUAAAGCAGGCGUUCGCCCAUUUGAAUACAUUAGCAUGGAAUAAUAAGAUAUGACUUUGGUGGUCUAUUUAGUUGGUUUGCACACCAGAGUAAUGAUUAAUAGGGACAGUUGGGGGUAUUCGUAUUCCUGUGGAAGAGGUGAAAUUCUUGGAUCACAGGAAGACUUAGGCGAAAGCAUUUACCAUGGAUGUUUUCAUUA